rnacentral:rRNA from 1 species
GACGAACGCUGGCGGCGUGCUUAACACAUGCAAGUCGAACGAAAAGAGGGAAAGAGCUUGCUCUUUCCGGAAUUGAGUGGCAAACAGGUGAGUAACACGUAAACAACCUGCCUUCAGGAUGGGGACAACAGACGGAAACGACUGCUAAUACCGAAUAAGUUCCAAGGGCCGCAUGGCCCAUGGAAGAAAAGGUGGCCUCUACCUGUAAGCUAUCGCCUGAAGAGGGGUUUGCGUCUGAUUAGCUGGUUGGAGGGGUAACGGCCCACCAAGGCGACGAUCAGUAGCCGGUCUGAGAGGAUGAACGGCCACACUGGAACUGAGACACGGUCCAGACUCCUACGGGAGGCAGCAGUGGGGAAUCUUCCGCAAUGGGCGAAAGCCUGACGGAGCAACGCCGCGUGAGUGAUGACGGCCUUCGGGUUGUAAAACUCUGUGAUCCGGGACGAAAAGGCAGAGUGCGAAGAACAAACUGCAUUGACGGUACCGGAAAAGCAAGCCACGGCUAACUACGUG